rnacentral:rRNA from 1 species
UACGUAGGGUGCAAGCGUUAAUCGGAAUUACUGGGCGUAAAGCGUGCGCAGGCGGUUUUGUAAGUCUGUCGUGAAAGCCCCGGGCUCAACCUGGGAAUUGCGAUGGAGACUGCAAGGCUUGAAUCUGGCAGAGGGGGGUAGAAUUCCACGUGUAGCAGUGAAAUGCGUAGAGAUGUGGAGGAACACCGAUGGCGAAGGCAGCCCCCUGGGCCGGUACUGACGCUCAGGCACGAAAGCGUGGGGAGCAAACAGG